UACCAGGCCCAUCUGCUAUUUUGGUUUGGCUCAUUUGCAAACACAAAACGCUUAGGUCAAGCGGGGUGACUCUUCCGAUCUUAAGCACGCCGACCACCGCUGCUACAUCUUCCGUCGUCGGCUUACAUCUCCUUAAAUCCUACGUUCUACCCACUACACGUCCCACUCUCUCGCAUCUGAACGGCCUCAUCAUCAUCUGUCUAUAAAUGUUCCUUACUUGCGAUGAAUACCCUGUUACGAAAUCUCAAAGGUCAAAUUCCGUCUAUAGAUCUCUCUCUCUCUCUCUCUCACGCUCAACACCAUCGCAGGUUAGUGUUUUCAAUGGGCAAAGUGUGAUUCUUAGGAAUUGUUUUAUGGGGAUGAUGAAUACUUAUAUAUCUUGGCUGUGUGUUUUAGAAGUGAUCUGAUAACUACUUGACGUUUUGGAUUCUUGGGGUUUCACUAACGAGAUUGCAGUGAGUUGUGAAGGCGAAAGAACAAGUUGUAGAAGGGAAGAUGCGUCAUCUAAUCCUGGAGAUAUUGAGUCCGUGAAGAAGAAGCUAUACGUAGCAAAAGUGUGGGUGCGGAACUUCAAAAAUUUCAAGAGUUCAAUCCUGCCGAUGAGCAUGGAUCCAUAUGGAGGGGAGUUCCAAGGGAUGGUUUUCGAAAUCUUUUGGAAAACCAUGUACCAAAAGCAACAAGUGGAUCAGGAUUCAAACUGAUAACGGAUGGUGUUAUAUUUCAUGGUAAAAAUUCUCCAAGAAGAUAUAGCAAGGGGUAUCUUCCUUCUCAUGCAUCGCAUGUGAUGAUUCCAACGCUGUCGGCGUCGUCAGGUUACAAACAUAUUACUGAAUUUCUUCUCAAAUUUCUUUUUUACUAAAUUCACCAAAGGGAAGUAGAUGAGAGUAAACUUAAGUUUGUCUUUUCUUUACAAGUUUCUGCUGAUCAAAGGGAGGGAUUGGCAAUGUUCAUGGAGCGACUUGAUCAGUCUAGAGAUUUAAUCAGAGAGUAGAAAAACCAUGAUGGAGACAGAAGAUCUUGGUGUCUCAGCUCUUCAAGAUCUUAGCCGGCACCGACAAACUCUCCUUCACUCGCAUAGCAAAGUUUGCUUGAUGGUGUGGAUGAGGACGAGCUUUCAAGGCUAUCUUUUUCCUCCUUUGUCGUUCUCGGUGUUAUUUCCCACACUGCUGCGUAAAUGUCUAUAUGGUUUUCCCAUUUGUACUACAAUAGUAUCACUUUUUCUUUAAUGUUAUUUAAUGUGUUAAUGUCUGAAACUUUUUGCCUAGAAAGAAACUCUCUGUGUGCCUAAAUACUCUCUACUGGUACUGAUUUAGUUGCAUCUUUUGUGUUUCAGUCAAAAACAGUUGUGGAGAGAAAGCAUCAGCAAUAGCAGAUGCAGACACAAUAGUGAAUGGCUCCACAGCAUCAGAAGCAUAAGCAGCAUUAGUGGUUGCUAAAAGAGCGGAGUCUGGUGGUCAACAAGGCUCUGUUAUAUAUCUUCUCGCCAACCAUAUUCUUGUUAAGUUUGAUCCUGCACAGAAGAUUUACAUUACAACGUUGAGAUCUCUCCAAGCCCUUCAAAGGAAAUCGCUGGGAUGAUCAAACAAAAACUCGUGGAGACUGAGCAUAGUAGUUUAUCUGGUGCUUUCCCUGCUUUUGAUGAUCAGGUGUGGUGACCUGCGUUAGAAGCUACCUCGGAAGAAGAUUGAUAAACUGUUUAGGGAUAACACGAGGCUUGUGUCCAAGUUUGAUGGGAAGGAGCAGAGAGAGGAAGUCGAUGGGAAGGAGCAGAGAAAGGAAGUCGAAAUCUGGGCUCCACUUCCUCGAGAAUACAUUCAUGCUCUCGAGGGAGAAUCCAAUAGAGAAGUGUACAUCGCUUGGAACAUCUUCAUUAUUAAGUACCGUAUAAAUUGGACACCUCAUUAUCAUUUUUUAAGAAAAUUAUAAAUCAUCUCUAAGUUUUCAUUUUCUUCUUCCUUAUAUCAAACCUAUUAAUUUUUUUUAUCAACCCAUUUUUUCUAAUCAA